AACGAACGCUGGCGGCAUGCCUAACACAUGCAAGUCGAACGAGAUCUUCGGGUCUAGUGGCGCACGGGUGCGUAACGCGUGGGAAUCUGCCCUUUGGCUCGGAAUAACAGUUGGAAACGACUGCUAAUACCGGAUGACGACGAAAGUCCAAAGAUUUAUCGCCAGAGGAUGAGCCCGCGUAGGAUUAGCUAGUUGGUGUGGUAAAGGCGCACCAAGGCGACGAUCCUUAGCUGGUCUGAGAGGAUGAUCAGCCACACUGGGACUGAGACACGGCCCAGACUCCUACGGGAGGCAGCAGUGGGGAAUAUUGGACAAUGGGCGAAAGCCUGAUCCAGCGAUGCCGCGUGAGUGAUGAAGGCCUUAGGGUUGUAAAGCUCUUUUACCCGGGAUGAUAAUGACAGUACCGGGAGAAUAAGCUCCGGCUAACUCCGUGCCAGCCGCCGCCGUAA
rnacentral:rRNA from 1 species